AGAGUUUGAUCCUGGCUCAGGACGAACGCUGGCGGCGUGCUUAACACAUGCAAGUCGAACGAAGAGCGAUGGAAGCUUGCUUCUAUCAAUCUUAGUGGCGAACGGGUGAGUAACGCGUAAUCAACCUGCCCUUCAGAGGGGGACAACAGUUGGAAACGACUGCUAAUACCGCAUACGAUCCAACCUUGGCAUCGAGGAUGGAUGAAAGGUGGCCUCUAUUUAUAAGCUAUCACUGAAGGAGGGGAUUGCGUCUGAUUAGCUAGUUGGAGGGGUAACGGCCCACCAAGGCGAUGAUCAGUAGCCGGUCUGAGAGGAUGAACGGCCACAUUGGGACUGAGACACGGCCCAGACUCCUACGGGAGGCAGCAGUGGGGAAUCUUCCGCAAUGGACGAAAGUCUGACGGAGCAACGCCGCGUGAGUGAUGACGGCCUUCGGGUUGUAAAGCUCUGUUAAUCGGGACGAAAGGUCUUCUUGCGAAUAGUUAGAAGAAUUGACGGUACCGGAAUAGAAAGCCACGGCUAACUACGUGCCAGCAGCCGCGGUAAUACGUAGGUGGCAAGCGUUGUCCGGAAUUAUUGGGCGUAAAGCGCGCGCAGGCGGAUCAGUCAGUCUGUCUUAAAAGUUCGGGGCUUAACCCCGUGAUGGGAUGGAAACUGCUGAUCUAGAGUAUCGGAGAGGAAAGUGGAAUUCCUAGUGUAGCGGUGAAAUGCGUAGAUAUUAGGAAGAACACCAGUGGCGAAGGCGACUUUCUGGACGAAAACUGACGCUGAGGCGCGAAAGCCAGGGGAGCGAACGAAAGUAGAUACCCCGGUAGUCCUGGCCGUAAAC
rnacentral:rRNA from 1 species